ACGGAGGGUGCAAGCGUUAACGACGAUACUGGGUUUAAAAGGGUGCGUAGGCGGCGCUAUAAGUCAGAGGUGAAAGGCCACCGCUUAACGGUGGGACUGCCUUUGAUACUGUAGUGCUUGAAUCAGGCUGAGGUCGGCGGAAUGUGACAUGUAGCGGUGAAAUGCUUAGAUAUGUCAUAGAACACCAAUUGCGAAGGCAGCUGACUAGACCUUGAUUGACGCUGAGGCACGAAAGCGUGGGGAGCGAACAGGAUUAGAUACCCCGUGUC
rnacentral:rRNA from 1 species